rnacentral:tRNA from 1 species
GCUCUUGUAGCUCAGUUGGUAGAGCACAGGAUUGUGACUCCUGCGGUCGUGGGUUCGAACCCCAUCGUCCACCCCA